rnacentral:rRNA from 1 species
GGGUAGGGGACCUGAGAGGGUGAUCCCCCACAAUGGAACUGAAACACGGUCCAUACACCUACGGGUGGCAGCAGUAGGGAAUAUUGCACAAUGGGCGAAAGCCUGAUGCAGCAACGCCGCGUGUGCGAUAAAGGCCUUCGGGUUGUAAAGCACUUUUCUGAGGGAAGAGGAAGGACGGUACCUCAGGAAUAAGUCUCGGCUAACUACGUGCCAGCAGCCGCGGUAACACGUAGGAGGCAAGCGUUAUCCGGAUUUACUGGGCGUAAAGCGCGUGCAGGCGGUUUGGUAAGUUGGAUGUGAAAGCUCCUGGCUUAACUGGGAGAGGUCGAUCAAUACUGCCAGACUAGAGGACGGUAGAGGAAGGUAGAAUUCCUGGUGUAGUGGUGAAAUGCGUAGAUAUCAGGAGGAAUACCAGAGGCGAAGGCGGCCUUCUGGGCCGUUCCUGACGCUAAGACGCGAAAGCAUGGGUAGCAAACGGGAUUAGAAACCCCGGUAGUCCAUGCCGUAAACGAUGCAAACUUGGUGUUGGUGGUGUAAAAGCCAUCAGUGCCGAAGCUAACGCGAUAAGUUUGCCGCCUGGGGAUUACGGCCGCAAGGUUAGAACUCAAAGGAAUUGACGGGUUCCCGCACAAGCAGCGGAGCGUGUGGUUUAAUUCGACUACGCGAAGAACCUUACCUGGGCUUGACAUAUAGGUGGUAGGGAUCCGAAAGGUGACCGACCCUUCGGGGAGCCUAUACAGGUGCUGCAUGGCUGUCGUCAGCUCGUGUCGUGAGAUGUCCGGUUAAGUCCGGUAACGAGCGCAACCCUUGCCGUAUGUUAUACGUGUCAUACGGGACUGCCGAUAUAAAAUCGGGGGAAGGCGGGGAUGACGUCAAGUCAGCAUGCCCUUUAUGUCCAGGGCUACACACACGCUACAAUGGCCAGUACAAUAGGUUGCAAGGCCGCGAGGCGGAGCCAAUCCUCAAAGCUGGUCUCAGUUCGGAUUGCAGGCUGUAACUCGCCUGCAUGAAGCCGGAGUUGCUAGUAAACGCACGUCAGCACAGUGCGUUGAAUACGUUCCCGGGAAUUGUACACACCGCCCGUCACGUCAUGGAAGCUGGAAACACCUAAAGUCGGUAUCCUAACCCUAACGGGAGGGAGCUGCCAAAGGUGGGGCUGGUAACUGGGACGAAGUCGUAACAAGGUAGGUGUACCGGGAGGUGCGCCUGG